rnacentral:rRNA from 1 species
UACGUAGGGAGCAAGCGUUGUUCGGAUUUACUGGGCGUAAAGGGCUCGUAGGCGGUCUGUCGCGUCGAAAGUGAAAACCCAGGGCUUAACCCUGGGCCUGCUUCCGAUACGGGCAGACUAGAGGUAUGCAGGGGAGAACGGAAUUCCUGGUGUAGCGGUGAAAUGCGCAGAUAUCAGGAGGAACACCGGUGGCGAAGGCGGUUCUCUGGGCAUUACCUGACGCUGAGGAGCGAAAGUGUGGGGAGCGAACAGG